rnacentral:rRNA from 1 species
CCUACGGGAGGCAGCAGUGAGGAAUAUUGGUCAAUGGGCUUACGCCUGAACCAGCCAAGUCGCGUGAGGGAAGACUGCCCUAUGGGUUGUAAACCUCUUUUGUCAGGGAGCAACGCCGGCUACGUGUAGCCGGACUGAGAGUACCUGAAGAAAAAGCAUCGGCUAACUCCGUGACAGCAGCCGCGGUAAUACGGAGGAUGCGAGCGUUAUCCGGAUUUAUUGGGUUUAAAGGGUGCGUAGGCGGAAUGCCAAGUCAGCGGUAAAAUCGCGGGGCUCAACCUCGCUCCGCCGUUGAAACUGGCGUUCUUGAGUGGGCGAGAAGUAUGCGGAAUGCGUGGUGUAGCGGUGAAAUGCAUAGAUAUCACGCAGAACUCCGAUUGCGAAGGCAGCAUACCGGCGCCCAACUGACGCUGAAGCACGAAAGCGUGGGUAUCGAACAGGAUUAGAUACCCUAGUAGUC